rnacentral:rRNA from 1 species
UACGGAGGGUGCAAGCGUUAUCCGGAUUCACUGGGUUUAAAGGGUGCGUAGGCGGGCAGGUAAGUCAGUGGUGAAAUCUCCGAGCUUAACUCGGAAACUGCCGUUGAUACUAUUUGUCUUGAAUAUUGUGGAGGUAAGCGGAAUAUGUCAUGUAGCGGUGAAAUGCUUAGAUAUGACAUAGAACACCAAUUGCGAAGGCAGCUUACUACACAACGAUUGACGCUGAGGCACGAAAGCGUGGGGAUCAAACAGG